GUAGCAGACGUGAGAGGGUGAUCGGCCACACUGGGAGUGAGACACGGCCCAGACUCCUACGGGAGGCAGCAGUAGGGAAUCUUCCGCAAUGGACGAAAGUCUGACGGAGCAACGCCGCGUGAGUGAUGAAGGUUUUCGGAUCGUAAAGCUCUGUUGUUAGGGAAGAACAAGUACCGUUCGAAUAGGGCGGUACCUUGACGGUACCUAACCAGAAAGCCACGGCUAACUACGUGCCAGCAGCCGCGGUAAUACGUAGGUGGCAAGCGUUGUCCGUGAAUUAUUGGGGGCGUAAAGGGCUCGCAGGCGGUUUUCUUAAGUUUGAUGUGAAAGCCCCCGGCUCAAGCGGGGAGGGUCAUUGGAAACUGGGGAACUUGAGUGCAGAAGAGGAGAGUGGAAUUCCACGUGUAGCGGUGAAAUGCGUAGAGAUGUGGAGGAACACCAGUGGCGAAGGCGACUCUUUGUGUCUGUAACUGACGCUGAGGAGCGAAAGCGUGGGGAGCGAACAGGAUUAGAUACCCUGGUAGUCCACGCCGUAAACGAUGAGUGUUAAGUGUUAGGGGGUUUCCGCCCCUUAGUGCUGCAGCUAACGCAUUAAGCACUCCGCCUGGCGGAGUACGGUCGCAAGACUGAAACUCAAAAGAAUUGACGGGGGCCCGCACAACCGGUGGAGCAUGUGGUUUAAUUCGAAGCAACGCGAAAAACCUUACCAGGUCUUGACAUCCUCUGACAAUCCUAGAGAUAGGACGUCCCCUUCGGGGGCAGAGUGACAGGUGGUGCAUGGUUGUCGUCAGCUCGUGUCGUGAGAUGUUGGGUUAAGUCCCGCAACGAGCGCAACCCUUGAUCUUACUUGCCAGCAUUCAGUUGGGCACUCUAAGGUGACUGCCGGUGACAAACCGGAGGAAGGUGGGGAUGACGUCAAAUCAUCAUGCCCCUUAUGACCUGGGCUACACACGUGCUACAAUGGACAGAACAAAGGGCAGCGAAACCGCGAGGUUAAGCCAAUCCCACAAAUCUGUUCUCAGUUCGGAUCGCAGUCUGCAACUCGACUGC
rnacentral:rRNA from 2 species